GGCAGUGAGAGCUCGGUGGUUAAGGUGUUAGACUACUGUUUGGAAGGUUUUGAGUUCAAAACCCAGCAAUGCCA